AGUAGAAUGAGUGAAAAGUUUCCUUCCAGCAGGAGUGGACAAGCUGCCUCCACUGGUUGCCACUGCGUUCAUGCUUAGUUCAGGUGGCUGUUCCACUGAGAUUGCAUUGAGAUGAGGAGUGGAACCACCUGUGUGAGCAGAAAUGUUGCUACUGGCAGAAAGACUGAGAGCAGCUCUAACUCAGAUCAGAACUAUACUGGGACGAUAUUUUCAGACAGAAACUAUAACCUAGAGAUCUACACAUUCAAACAUGAGAGCUCAUAAAUGCUGGUUCAUACCAUUGGGAUGAUACCUUAUGCUUGAAGUUACAGGCUUUGCUCAAG